GAUGAACGCUGGCGGCGUGCCUAAUACAUGCAAGUCGAGCGAAUGGAUUAAGAGCUUGCUCUUAUGAAGUUAGCGGCGGACGGGUGAGUAACACGUGGGUAACCUGCCCAUAAGACUGGGAUAAAUCCGGGAAACCGGGGCUAAUACCGGAUAAUAUUUUGAACUGCAUGGUUCAAAAUUGAAAGGCGGCGUCGGCUGUCACUUAUGGAUGGUCCCGGGUCGCAUUAGAUAGUUGGGAAGGUACCGGCUCACCAAGGCCACGAGGCGUAGCCGACCUGAGAGGGUGAUCGGCCACACUGGGACUGAGCCACGGCCCAGACUCCUACGGGAGGCAGCAGUAGGGAAUCUUCCGCAAUGGACGAAAGUCUGACGGAGCAACGCCGCGUGAGUGAUGAAGGCUUUCGGGUCGUAAAACUCUGUUGUUAGGGAAGAACAAGUGCUAGUUGAAUAAGCUGGCACCUUGACGGUACCUAACCAGAAAGCCACGGCUAACUACGUGCCAGCAGCCGCCGUAA
rnacentral:rRNA from 1 species